rnacentral:rRNA from 1 species
CAGCAGCCACGGUAAUACGUAGGGGGCUAGCGUUGUUCGGAAUUACUGGGCGUAAAGCGCACGUAGGCGGCUUGGUAAGUUAGAGGUGAAAGCCCGGAGCUCAACUCCGGAAUUGCCUUUAAGACUGCCGAGCUAGUAGGUGAGAGAGGUAAGUGGAAUUCCGAGUGUAGAGGUGAAAUCCGUAGAUAUUCGGAAGACCACCAGUGGCGAAGGCGGCUUACUGGCUCAUUCUAGACGCUGAGGUGCGAAAGCGUGGGGAGCAAACAGGAUUAGAUACCCCCGUAGUCCCUGUCUCUUAUAC